ensembl:lncRNA
GUAACUGUCCGUUCGUGUACAGCGCACAGGAGCCUGUUUUUGUUGGUUCUGAACGCCCCAGGCAGUCCUCAAUGGUCCUAGCAACACAAGCCUGCUGAGAUAUGAUUAGAUAAAGACUUUACAAUAAUAUACAACACUGGAAGCGGCGAAAUCAAGCGGAAAUAAUGAGACGAAGAAAAUACACCAUGGGGAAUUAUUUUAUUUACCAAAAACAACUUUUCACAGUAUGUUGGGGCUAGCAGAAAAGUUAGCUGCCCCUGGCAACCGUAGUGUCAGUAGUGAAGGACUUCCUCGCUGUCUCCAACGUCUGCGUCUCUCCUGCGUUUUCACGCACGUCCGUGCAUGUGCAUAAAUGCCAUGGAAACCGCUGACGUUAGUCUCUUCAGGCUUUGACUCCACAAGUUCACGAGUGGACUAAGAGGCACUGAUAACAAAACCAUCUGUGUUGUGAUGUUUGCAGGCGAAAUGGGUCGUCAUUUGCCCCAGGGCCUUGUGAAGCUCUGGAGUCGCUUCAAGCGUUGGAGAAACCGGAGGAUCCAGCCGGAGCAGCCGGUGGGCGAAGGUGGUCCAGAUGGGCCUAACGGCGUCCACGUCCAUCCUUCACCCACUCCUCAGGUGGGUGACUCAUACACACCCCAUCCACCUUCUCCUCCACGCUCUCUUGUUUUUUGGUCUGCUGGUCCUUCUGUUUCCCCUUCACCCCCUCCUGUUCCUUGUUGCUUUGAUGUUCUUGCUUUUUCUCCUUCACCCUGUCCUACUCCUUCUUUUUCUUCUUCUUCUUUCUCACUCUCUUCUGCUUCCUCUGGUACUUGGUGCUCUGACAUCUUUCCCUUUUCUCCUUACCCUUCUCCUACUCCUUCUUCUUCUUCUUCUUCUUCUUCUUCUUCUUCUUCUUCUUCUUCUUCCUCACUCUCUUCUGCUCACUCUGCUUCUCUGUGCUCUCCUCCUCACUCUCUCACCUCUCCUUUUUCUUCUUCUUCGCCCUCCUCUGCUUACUCUGGUACUUGUUGCUCUGCUGUCCUUCCCUUUUCUCCUUCACCCUCUGCUGUUCCUAGUUGUUCUGCUGUCUUUCCUUUUUGUCCUUCACCCUCUCCUACUCCUUCUUCUUCUUCCUCACCCUCUUCUGCUUACUCUUGUCUUUGUUGCUCUGAUGCCCUUCCUUUGUCCCCUUUACCCUCUCCUGUGACGGAGAGAGUGAAGGAGCUCAUCCAGCAGCUCAUCUUCCAGGAGAGGUAAGGAAGACAGUGAUGAGGAGGGGGCUGCUCUUGGAAGACUCAACUGUGGGACACUGUUUCCUACAGUGAAACCAGUCUUGGAUUUGACCCCAGGGCACCUUUUUUUGUAGUUUUAUUUCUAUACCAUAAGUUUAAAUGUUCAUUCCAACUUUGAGAACUAGCCUUUGCGUCUGGCUGGGCAGUUUUCAGGUCCCCGGCAGCGUCUGGCGCUGGGACCUUUCUUUCUUUCCUGGAUGAACACAUGUUUAAAUGUUAAUUUUUACCCUGAGAACUAGCCUUUGCGUCUGGCUGGGCGGUUCUCAGGUCCCAGGUAGCGUCUGGCACCUGGGCCAGUUUUUGCUGUUUUUUAUAUUUUAGCAUGGCGGUUGGAUGGACUUUUCUUUCACCCUGAAGGCUGAGUUCAGCGCCUGGCAGGGCCGUCGAUCCCCCCAUGCAAGUUGCCCUAGCGUCUGGCGGGGUAGCUAUUAUGUUUCCUCCACAGCGAUAGAAGGUCAGCUCAGUCACAGUGGCACUGGGGACACAUGUCGUCUCCCACUGAAGCUCCUCGGUGGCAGAUGACUGCAGUGUCAGGUGUUAUGGAAGGGAAACACAUGGCUGUCUGCAGUCCACAUCCUGCUCCACA